GACAGAGGGUGCAAACGUUGUUCGGAAUUACUGGGCGUAAAGCGUGUGUAGGCGGCCAAGCAAGUCGGAUGUGAAAGCCCAGGGCUCAACCCUGGAAUGCCGGUGGAUACUGUCGGGCUCGAAUCCGGAAGAGGUGAGUGGAAUUCCUGGUGUAGCGGUGAAAUGCGCAGAUAUCAGGAGGAACACCAAUGGCGAAGGCAGCUCACUGGGACGGUAUUGACGCUGAGACGCGAAAGCGUGGGGAGCAAACAGG
rnacentral:rRNA from 1 species